CCUGCCCCUGGAAGCAUUGCAGGUGUGGCUACUGUGUUGCAUGAGUAUUCGUGGGUGGAAGAGGAGAGAGGUCUAUGUCUAGCCUCCGUGUUCUGACCUAUGAACAUCUGAUUUAAUAGGUUAACAUU
ensembl:snoRNA Gm24869 small nucleolar RNA SNORA17